rnacentral:rRNA from 1 species
GUGGGGAGCAAACAGGAUUAGAUACCCUGGUAGUCCACGCCGUAAACGAUGUCUACUUGGAGGUUGGUGUCUUGAACACUGGCUUUCGGAGCUAACGCGUUAAGUAGACCGCCUGGGGAGUACGGUCGCAAGAUUAAAACUCAAAUGAAUUGACGGGGGCCCGCACAAGCGGUGGAGCAUGUGGUUUAAUUCGAUGCAACGCGAAGAACCUUACCUACUCUUGACAUCCACGGAAUCCUGCAGAGAUGCGGGAGUGCCUUCGGGAACCGUGAGACAGGUGCUGCAUGGCUGUCGUCAGCUCGUGUUGUGAAAUGUUGGGUUAAGUCCCGCAACGAGCGCAACCCUUAUCCUUGUUUGCCAGCACUUCGGGUGGGAACUCCAGGGAGACUGCCGGUGAUAAACCGGAGGAAGGUGGGGACGACGUCAAGUCAUCAUGGCCCUUACGAGUAGGGCUACACACGUGCUACAAUGGCAUAUACAGAGGGCAGCAAGACCGCGAGGUGGAGCGAAUCCCACAAAGUAUGUCGUAGUCCGGAUUGGAGUCUGCAACUCGACUCCAUGAAGUCGGAAUCGCUAGUAAUCGUGGAUCAGAAUGCCACGGUGAAUACGUUCCCGGGCCUUGUACACACCGCCCGUCACACCAUGGGAGUGGGCUGCACCAGAAGUAGAUAGCUUAACCUUCGGGAGGGCGUUUACCACGGUGUGGUUCAUGACUGGGGUGAAGUCGUAACAAGGUACCA